rnacentral:lncRNA from 1 species
GUGGCAUUUGUUCUGUCUGGGAAUACCUCAGGGAUGCUUUGCUUAAUCUGUUUACAAAAUCUCAUUGCUUCAGAGGUGAUACAAGCAUAUUAAAGGUUUUCUUUGACCUAUGUUUACAAGUAAAUAACCUAUACUGUGAAAAAAAAAAAAAUCAGACAUUUUCCUAGGACUGUAAUCCUGUUCUGUAACUGGCAAAUCUCCUGGAGUCAUUAAGAUCUAUUUACGUGGAGAAAAAAAUGUGUGUAAUCAAAUGCUGGAAAUCACACAAACAGCACUUUACUGUACCUACUUACAGCAUCUGAUAAUAACCUUUCAUUGUAGUUACAGUUAAAGUUAGGCUGACAUGCGUUUUUGUUUCCUCUUUAGAUCAAGAGCAUUGUAGAAAAUGGCAAUUACUACAGAAGUAUUUGCUUUCCAUUGGACUAAAGCUUAUGAGGAAUCCUUUAAAAGAAACUCUUCUGCUAUAUCUAAAUGCAGAGAGACUG